rnacentral:lncRNA from 1 species
AUGACCCUUCCUUGGUCACCCCUCUCAACUUCUGUCCAGCUUCCCAGGUUAAAGGCAUGGCAACUGAAGCCCAAAGAUGGGCAGCAUGGGGCCCAGGUCCCCACCAGAUGUGUGAAUGGAAUCUUUCCACGGUGCCCCCGACAGCAUCUCUGGAUUAGUCAAGGCUGCCAAGGAAACACGGAGAUGUACUUGCUCAGAAUUCCGGGGCAGAGGGUGGGCCGAUGUGAGAGAAGAAGGGCCCUUAGCGCUGACGCCGGUCAGGAGCUUCUGCAGACCCCAGGGCAGGCUGGACACUGUGCAAGAAGCUUCAGGGCUGAGGGAGCUGCAGAGUCACUAAGGAAUGAGCUGCUCCACGUCCGUGAAUAUGGUAAAUGGAACAAUGGCCCCAUCAACGAUGCGCACGUCCUACUCCGCAGAACCUGUGGAUGUGUCACCUUACAUGGCAAAGGGACUUCGCAGAGUAAGAGGUUAUCCCAGGUGACCCACUGGCCCCUAUGUCAUCAGGUGGAUCCUUUUUAGAGAGAGGUGAGAGGGUCAGCAUCAGAGGAAGGAGGUGUGACAACAGAGGCAGAGGUUGGAGUGACAUGCUUUGGAGACAGAGGAAGGCCAAGGAGUCCAGGAGACUCCUAGAAGUAGGAAAAGGCAAGGAGACAGAUGCUCCCCGACACCCCCAGAAGUAGCCUGGCCCUGCUCACCUCUGGAUUUUGGCCUUCUGACCUUCAGAGCUGUGAGGGAGUAAGUGUGUGCUUUUAUAAGCAUUAAACUUGUGAUUAUUUGUUAUGGCAGCAAUAGGAAAUGAAUACUAUGAAUGUUCCAGAAUGUGGUAUACUCAAGUAUUGUGAUAGUUUGUAUCAAAAAUGACUGUAACAGUAUCUCCAGUCCCACUAGCUUUUCCAGAGUUUUGACACUCCUCCAUCAGGGGUGGGGUCUGUUCUCCUUCCUGGGAAACUGUGUGGGCCUCUGUAACUGCUCUGAGGAAAGAAAUAGUGGGACUUUCAAUGCUCAAUCAUAA